rnacentral:rRNA from 1 species
UACAGAGGGGGCAAGCGUUGUUCGGAAUUACUGGGCGUAAAGGGCGCGUAGGCGGCCGCCUAAGUCAGACGUGAAAUCCCUCGGCUCAACCGGGGAACUGCGUCUGAUACUGGGUGGCUUGAAUCCGGGAGAGGGAUGCGGAAUUCCAGGUGUAGCGGUGAAAUGCGUAGAUAUCUGGAGGAACACCGGUGGCGAAGGCGGCCUCCUGGGCCAACACUGACGCUCAUGCACGAAAGCGUGGGGAGCAAACAGG